rnacentral:lncRNA from 1 species
GGGCAGGCUCAUCAGAACUAAGUCUCACCACUCCUGAAAGACAAGAGAAAUGAGAGACCACAGAAUCCUCAGGGAGUCACCUCACCAGGCAACCUAGAUUUGUAACUGUUCAUCCUGCCUGUGAGAAAGGACACAGUCCUGUGAUAUCUAAAGAGGAAGAGGGAGAGAGUGAUGCCUGUUCCUAUCCCUGCAUAGAGCACGGGUCCUCCUGGUACCAACUGAGGAUGCUUUGGGGACCAAACGACAUCUAGUACUAUGCUUGGCACUUACGGCUUCACAGCCAGAACCCAUCAUUUCUAAGCUCUUAAGGUGGGGCCCUCAUACGUGUGUCCUGAAGCCUCCUUAGCUUGUCCUAAAAAACACUGGCAGAAUGGAGAAAUUGUAUCAGAGGCCAACAUGUUGGCCUUUGACAUGAAUUGCAACAAUGACAGAAAUAGUCACAGCAGAUGAGUGUUUAGUUUUGGGGAGAAAAUUUUUCUUUUUUUUUCCUUUAGAGGAGCUAAGGCUGCCAUGACAAAAUAAGAAAGAAGAAAUGUAUUCAGUAGGCUGCUGAAUUUUGAAAUGGGAGAAGUUCAGAUUAAAGGAACAGAGGAGGUGGAAGAAAGCCAGGUGAAUGGAAUGUUAGGAGAGUGGGAGGAAGAGUUCCAGGACGGUUCCCGCCAGUGCUGCAGAGUCAAGCAGCACACACAGCAGAUCACGGGUCUGAUGAUGAGAAUUCCUUAUGACAUCAGAUGCAGGUUUCAAGGGUGGAAUGCCGACGGAGAAGGUGCUCAACUGUUGGUGUAAAUAAUGGAGCAGGAGGUGCUGUGACUAGUUUGGAGAUCUUCCCUAGGCCAGAUCUGUAGAAAGAAGAGCAAAGGCUUUUCCUGCCCCACCUAAGCAUGAAAGUCAGCACCACCCAGGCCCGUCCAGGAGGACAAUCACAGAGGAUCCAUCAGGGACACUGGGGACCAUACUGGGCACUGAACAGUUCAGAACACUGUGAAAUCACAGUCAGAAACAAACAGAUGUCUGGAGUAAGAGCAAAAACCCACACAAAUUGCAACUGGACC